rnacentral:rRNA from 1 species
AUUGAACGCUGGCGGCAGGCCUAACACAUGCAAGUCGAACGGUAACAGGAAGAAGCUUGCUUCUUUGCUGACGAGUGGCGGACGGGUGAGUAAUGUCUGGGAAACUGCCUGAUGGAGGGGGAUAACUACUGGAAACGGUAGCUAAUACCGCAUAACGUCGCAAGACCAAAGAGGGGGACCUUCGGGCCUCUUGCCAUCGGAUGUGCCCAGAUGGGAUUAGCUAGUAGGUGGGGUAACGGCUCACCUAGGCGACGAUCCCUAGCUGGUCUGAGAGGAUGACCAGCCACACUGGAACUGAGACACGGUCCAGACUCCUACGGGAGGCAGCAGUGGGGAAUAUUGCACAAUGGGUGCAAGCCUGAUGCAGCCAUGCCGCGUGUAUGAAGAAGGCCUUCGGGUUGUAAAGUACUUUCAGCGGGGAGGAAGGGAGUAAAGUUAAUACCUUUGCUCAUUGACGUUACCCGCAGAAGAAGCACCGGCUAACUCCGUG